ACUCCUACGGGAGGCAGCAGUGGGGAAUAUUGGACAAUGGGCGAAAGCCUAAUCCAGCCAUGCCGCGUGUGUGAAAAAGGUCUUCGGAUUGUAAAGCACUUUAAGUUGGGAGGAAGGAUUGUAGAUUAAUACUCUGCAAUUUUGACGUUACCGACAGAAUAAGCACCGGCUAACUCUGUGCCAGCAGCCGCGGUAAU
rnacentral:rRNA from 1 species